rnacentral:rRNA from 1 species
UGACGAGUGGCGGACGGGUGAGUAAUGCUUGGGAACUUGCCUUUAGGAGGGGGAUAACAGUUGGAAACGACUGCUAAUACCGCAUAAUGUCUACGGACCAAAGGGGGCUUUUAGCUCUCACCUAAAGAGAGGCCCAAGUGAGAUUAGCUAGUUGGUAAGGUAAAGGCUUACCAAGGCGACGAUCUCUAGCUGUUCUGAGAGGAAGAUCAGCCACACUGGAACUGAGACA